AGGAGCUCCUCCAACAUGACUGGCUCACUGGCCUCAGGGGUGUGGCUCCCUAUCACGUUGACUGGUGUGAAUUACAGCUAUCUCACAAAGAAAGAUCUGCUGCAGUAGUAACCAUCAAAGCUUCCCUUACUGAUGGCCUUUUGAGGCCAGGGGACAAAGAGUGACCCACAGGAGAGAAGUGGCAAUUACAUCCAGAUAGAUACCCACUUCACACACCUGUCACAACACAGAUGAACCCAUCAUAAAGGGCUGGUGGGAGAGGACAAAAGUGCAGAAAUUCCCCCGCUGUGACCCUCCAGCUUCCUCCGCUCUUUUUCUCCUCAACUAUUAAGCCAUAAAGGGGGAGGAUGGAACUCAUCCCAAAGGGGGAGACUUAAGGUGAACCGACGACAUGGCACCGGUUCCUUGCGGGCCCAACUCAAACAAUCAUUGGAUCGACAACCAUGCAUGCACAGACAUGUUGAAUCAAAAAGUUAAGAGUCGCCAUUAAACCAAACGAGCAUGUCUUUGGACUUGGAGAGAAACCCCAGAGAAACUGUAGGGCUGCUUCCGAAAAAGUUUCAUUGGUAAGGACUCUUUAGCCAAAGCGAAAGUGUGUCAGUGUUCACCAUGUUAAAUGCAGACUGAAUAGUGCAGUCAGUAAAGAAGGUAGAAAAAGGAGCCUAUAUGCUUCCUAUCAUAGUUUCUUUGGCAUAGGGAGCUUGUGAUGUCCCUCACUGGUGCUAAGGAGCCAUAGGGGAUCUCAUAAUCCUUUGCG